rnacentral:lncRNA from 1 species
ACAGGACCCCCACCUUCGCUCCUGGGAGCCCCGCUGCACCCCAGGAGUUCCAUUCCAGCCUCCCCAGUGCGAGUGCGGCCGAGCGCUGACUUUUGGGGGCUCCCUCCCCCGUCUCACUGGGUCCCUCUGCGGCUCCCCCGCCCGCUGUCCCGGUUCAGACGUGGCUGCACCCCGGAGGGGGGCGCCGGCCGAGACCUGAGACGUGGCGCUCCCUCUCUGCCGGCCUCGGCUUCAGGUACGUGCGGUUCCCUCGGCUAAAUCUGGCCCGGGGGAUGGGGGGCAGGGGCCGUCUGGUCCUCCGGAACUCGAACUUUGUGAUUUUGUUCUUUCUGUGUGACAUCCUCAUCCGUUCUGAGGGAGAAACUCCUUAAAGAAGACGAGAGAGUCAGUCGUUGCGGGUUCUUGGAGGAGCACUUUGGGGGUGAGACUCCCGGCUAGUUCGGGUCGAUUUCAGCGGGAUUAAGUCAAGGAAAUGAACAAAUCUGACGAAUCAGGGAGGCCAGAGAAGGCGUCCCCAGGUAGCCACGCUGAGCGUUAAGAGAGAAGUCCCGUAUGGUCAAAGUCAUUCGUCCAAUUCUGUGUCAAUUAUUCCUUGUUGCACUUUUGCAGGAUCCUUGGGCCUUACUAAGUACUCAGGUGAAAAGUUGAUAAUUGGGAAGCAAGUAAAGUACCUUUGAAGACGUGUAUAAUUGGACACUUUGUUGCAGUUCUUCAGUUUCUGGAGGAGGCGGUGGGGGGGGAGAGGGAGGGGGUCAGCCUCGCGAAAAGAGCAAAUGGUAAAGUUAUAGGAGUAUAAGGCAUAAAACUUGGGUUGGGAGUCCUGACUGGCCUUGAGUGGCCCUUUCCCACUGGAUGGGGGUGCGGGACAGUAUCUCUGGGCCCUUUUUACUCAGUCUGCGCCUCAGAGGGAGGCUUGAAGGUCCCCUGCAUGAGGAAAUGUGUGAAUUGCCCCCUCCUGACCGCAGUGAGGUAGGGACCCCCGCAAGGACCCACGUUCACACCAGCGCCCUUCCAGCCAGUGGUGGGGUAUGGAUGGGCCUCGCUGGUCCUGGGCAUGGUCCGGUGCGUCCAUAAGGGUUCCAUUGAGCUCAUCCAUAAAACAAAGAAGCUAUUGCAGGCUGCAGGGUGUCAUAGCUCGCACAGUAGCCAUGCAGACCUAAGAGGACAAUGGAAAUACAAAUUGCUAUCGAUGUGUCUUUAUUUUCUAGAACUUUUUUUUAAAAUAAAAGAAUUAAGUGAAAGCAAUUCCGAAGGUUUCUAUGAAAGCCCAGCCCAUCCCCAAAUGCCCAGUCUCUGGCACGGGUGAUCUGGCUGUCUUGGGUACUCAGGCCUUACUGGGAUUUCCUUUAAGACCUCUGGGAGGAAGUGUCAGUAGCUGGGCAGGCCUUCUUGGCAAGCAUUCCUCCCUGGGUUGUGGCGGGGGCUCCCGGCCUGCUGUGUGGCAGCUGCAGGCUCCUGGGGACCUGAAGGAAAAGCUUAACCGUUCUCCCUUCCCUUGCUUGGCACUUAGAGCACUAGUUCCAUUCCAGACAUUCCGAUUAUCUUGCCUACGUGGCACAGAGGCCUAGGAGCCUCCCUGGGAGGAAGAGGCAGGCCAAGGUCUUGCCUGGCUGCUUCUAGGGGGAAAGAUGUAGGGAGGAAGCUGCCUUAUGCUUGGAUCUGCAGCCUUUGCCUGGACCUGUGGAGCCUACGUGGCCAGGGUGAGGGAGACAGAAAUUAGAACCCAAUGUAUUCAGCUAAUCCUCUUCUUGCCUCUGAACAUUGCCGUUAAUACUUGAAAAGAAAAAAAAAAAGCAAAAAAACUCUUGGCAUAUAGAGCUAAGCAGUGGGAAGAAGAUAGCUUUCUAAACCAUGACCCAAUAGGUCUGAUAACAUAACAUUUAACUGGAUAAAUUACAUAAUUUUGUAUAUAUGUAGGGGGGAGUUGAAUUCAGUUUUGCUGUUUACAGGCUGCACCAAUGCAUUGUUAAAAGAUGUAUAUUUUAGUGAUAAUUGUGAUUAAUUACAAAAUAAUUGCUAAUAAGCAGGUAAAUAAACCAAAUUAUAAUUUAGAGUGCAUCCUUUGUUUAAAGUGAAAUGGAUCUAAAUUGAGGAUAUAAUUUUGAGUUUUAAUCUGGGGAAAGUUCUUUAACUUUUCUGAGCUACAGUCUCUUCACCUGGAGCUUAGACACACCAGCCUGGCAGGGGUAUGUCAGCUGUCUGCUUGAAAGGAGAAAGACAGUAAUCUGUGUGAAAUACUCACCGAGCACCCAACAUAUAAGCAGGCUCUUCAUAAAGUCAUUUUGAGGUAUCCACAAGUAUUUCUUUUUUCUAAACAAAAUUUCUUUGUUUUUUGUUUGUUUUGCUUUGCAAAGGUCUUGCUUGCUAGAAAGCUAUCUGCAUUAAGCUGCUUCUCAUCACAUUAUAAAACUAAGGAUGAUCAUUUUUAAACAAACAAAAGUAUUUAGUUAUCUUUUCAAAGUAAAAUAUAGCUUUCCCUAAACUGUUUUAGGUGAGCCAUGCACACAAUGUGAAAGAAUGAAGAAACCAACAAAACACUUGGUGAAAAUGAUGAAUUCUGGGGCGCUGAUUCAUGUGACUUGAAAAAUGCCAUCCAUUUCCUGAUUCACCUCAAUUCUGUUCGGAACUAUGAAAGAUCAUUUAUGUUUCUGCACUAAUUGACCAAUUUUGUCUUGUCUUUACUUCCCUCCCUAGUGCUUGAAUUUCAGCCACAUCCCUAAGCUGCCAUCUCAGACCAGAGGAACAGGGAGGGGGGCUUUCUGGAAAGAACAUCACCUGGAAGAAAUCAGGACAUGACUGUGGGCCAUGAGUGACCUUCAAAGGAAAGCCGGGUAUCUGUGGUCUUUAAGAUGUGAUCCAUGACAUUUAAAAACUGAAGAAAUGGAAAGAUCAUCUGAUCAGGCCCAUCAGUCUUUUUCCUAAUGCUAAACAUUGGUACAAAGACGUGAAGUUUGAUGUCUCACUAAGAUUGCCUAGGGCUGCUUUAUUGCUCACCUACUUCAAAGUAUUGGGAAAACAUGAUUAUGGGUACAGGUGAUGCUGUGUUGCCCCCAGACAGGUUUCUUUUGUCAGGUUCUUUUGAUGGAUUAGGAACCUACAAGUGGGGAGAUUUUAGGGAAAUAGCCCCUCCACUUGGAUUUCACCAAAACGUCUUUAGGGUUCUCUUACCCCAAGAAACACGCAUUCCUCUUUAGUGUGGCAGCCCACUCUAUUGGCAAAGUUAAGCAGACCAGUUUUACUAAAAAGGAGCCACCCAGAAACUUAGACAGAAAAUACUUGAGGCACAGAUGAGAAUGAGCACAAAUGUGCAUAGCAAGUGCAGUUUCCUGGCCCUUAAACUGAAGGGCCAGGUCAGUCUGCUCCUCCAGGCACAGCCUGGGACCCCAUCAUGUGCCCCACUCUGCAGUCUGAGCUUCCACUCAAGUCCACCAGGGCCUGCCUCACAUAUAUAUACAAGACCCAAUGUCAGAGUCUGCCUCUGCCCAUGUCUGGUCAGAGGGUUGCACUUUGCCACUGCUACAUGUUCCCAGAGGUUGGCACAGCAUGACCUGGACCUCACCUAACCCAGGCAAACUCUGCUCAUCUUCGAGCUCUCUGGAACCCAUUUCUCAAGGGAGAACCACAUUCCCCCACCUCACAGCCAAGUUCAAGGAAGCAGCCUGGCUAAAGCAAUGACUCAAGGAUACCAGAAGCAGAGCACGCAUUUAAGAAGAUGCGCUGACUCGCAGGAGCAGCUGACUCUUCUUAAGAAGAGUUUACUGAUUCUUCUUUCAGUACGGGCCUUUUAAUAAGAUAUUGUAUUUUACUUCAGCUAUGGGUGCAGACAAUUAAAGGAUUCUAGAAAUCU